GAUGAACGCUGGCGGCGUGCUUAACACAUGCAAGUCGAACGAAGCACUUUAACCUGAUUCUUCGGAUGAAGGUUUUUGUGACUGAGUGGCGGAAGGGUGAGUAACGCGUGGGUAACCUGCCUCAUACAGGGGGAUAACAGUUAGAAAUGACUGCUAAUACCGAAUAAGACCACAGAGCCGCAUGGCUCGGUGGGAAAACCUCCGGUGGUAUGAGAUGGACCCGCGUCUGAUUAGGUAGUGGGUGGGGUAACGGCCUACCAAGCCAACGAUAGGUAGCCGACCAGGGAGAGUGACCGGCCACAUUGGGACUGAGACACGGCCCAAACUCCUGCGGGAGGCAGCAGUGAGGAAUAUUGCACAAUGGGGGGAACCCUGAAGCAGCGACGCCGCGUGAGCGAAGAAGUAUGGCAGUAAGUAAAGCUCUAUCAGCAGGGAAGAAAAUGACGGUACCUAACUAAGAAGCACCGGCUAAAUACGUG
rnacentral:rRNA from 1 species